CGGGGUGCACCAGGCGCGAAAACUUUACAAUGCUGGCAACAGCGAUAAGGGGACCUCGAGUGCCAGGUUACAAAUCUGGCUGUCGUGAUGCCUAAAAAGCAUUGCAUAGCAAGGGCCGGGCAAGACCGGUGCCAGCCGCCGCGGUAACACCGGCGGCUCGAGUGGUAACCGUUAUUAUUGGGUCUAAAGGGUCUGUAGCCGGCCGGAUAAGUCUCUUGGGAAAUCCAGCAGCUCAACUGUUGGGCUUUCAGGAGAUACUGUCUGGCUCGAGGCCGGGAGAGGUGAGAGGUACUUCAGGGGUAGGGGUGAAAUCUUGUAAUCCUUGAAGGACCACCAGUGGCGAAGGCGUCUCACCAGAACGGACCUGACGGCAAGGGACGAAAGCUAGGGGCACGAACCGGAUUAGAUACCCGGGUAGUCCUAGCCGUAAACGAUACUCGCUAGGUGUCGGCCACGGUGCGACCGUUGUCGGUGCCGUAGGGAAGCCGUGAAGCGAGCCACCUGGGAAGUACGGCCGCAAGGCUGAAACUUAAAGGAAUUGGCGGGGGAGCACAAGGGCGAAUCGCG
rnacentral:rRNA from 1 species